rnacentral:misc_RNA from 1 species
GUGAUACUCUCCAAUCAAUCAUCAUAUGGAUCUCAAGGAUGUGGCGAAAUGUCCUCCUUGUUUUCCCCUCACAUAUGACCCUUUUCUAUAACUGUGCACCUUCUGGAGUGGUUUGGUCAUCAACUAAACCUCCCACUUUUUUAAAUCCACAAACUCUCGAGGAACAUGUAAAUGUCAUUCAAUCCCACAAUAAAUAAA